AAAACAAAGCCGCAGAUUUCAUUAAUGAUAAACUACUUCUGGUGCAAAAUAAGAAUCCGAAGAAGAUGGCAAGAUCAGUACACAAGGCCAACUUCAAUGAGGAGGUACAAGAUUUCAUAACACUUUUGAACAGAGUGUAUGGUAUGCUCGAUGCAAAAAGUUUCCACCCAUCGGAUGUGCUACUAUAUUUUUAGUUCCUGCCUCCCACAAGGAACUAUUGGCAAGGCUUCACAUUAAUUAGUUAAUAAUCAUAUCUUUUGACAGCCAAUAGCAUGGCUUGUUUUGUUCUAUGUCAAGACUAUCCUAAGUCUAAAUCCCAAUUUCCUAAGUCUAAAUCCCAAUUUGGCAGAGAUAUGUGCUUGGGUUUUAACCAUUAUUUGCAAGGUGGGAGCGUUGGUAGGCUAUAGAUGGCGGACGGAUAGGCAAUGCAAAGCCCAAGGCAAGAGAACGCCUGGAUACAGAGGAAGGGGGCAAAAACUAGAUCUCGGUUAGCGUCUGUUGCACACAGUUGGCAUUUACGGCUGCACCUGUGCGACGUGGAUGUGCAGAGACAGAUGGCUCUUAGGGUUUUCGUUUUGGGCAUGCAGGGCAGAGGACCCGUUACUACAUUGGUGGGAGAUGACAAUGAAACAAUAUUAAUAAACUCAUGAUGCCUCAUUUUUAAUGUUUAGCUGUCCUGGAGCACGACAUGGCCUUUUUACCUUCAGCUUUUCUUCAGCGAAAUCUGCUCUGUUCUGCAUAUCUCAUUUACAAGAUUUCUGGAUCGCAAAGCACAUUGAGCAUUGGUAGCAUCUAAUUACACAACACAUAAAGGGAUCAAGGGGUAUGGCCUUUGUUGAGACCUUGGAGUUCAAAUAGUGGGCUAAUUGGCAUGAAUUUUAUGAUUAGGAUAAUAUUGUUGAACUUUUAUUGUUACCCGUUUGGCCAUUGCUCGAUAAUGUGCAACAUGGACCGUAAAUUGCAGUCAACAAAAUCAUUAAAUAAUAUUAUAGAUACAGAGAACUAUAAACCUUGUAGGGUGGACUUGUUAAAAUAACAAAGAGGAAGCAAAUAGAUUGGGCAAUAAUCCUAGGUGAUAACUUGUAUGACCAAUUGGUUA